GCGUCUGUAGCUCAGUUGGUUAGAGCACCACCUUGACAUGGUGGGGGUCGGUGGUUCGAGUCCACUCAGACGCA
rnacentral:tRNA from 1 species